UACGGGGGGGGCAAGCGUUGUUCGGAAUUAUUGGGCGUAAAGGGUUCGUAGGUGGCCGACUAAGUCAGACGUGAAAUCCCUCAGCUCAACUGGGGAACUGCGUCUGAGACUGGCCGGCUUGAGUGCAGGAGAGGAACGCGGAAUUCCAGGUGUAGCGGUGAAAUGCGUAGAUAUCUGGAGGAACACCGGUGGCGAAGGCGGCGUUCUGGACUGCUACUGACACUGAGGAACGAAAGCCAGGGGAGCAAACAGG
rnacentral:rRNA from 1 species